GGAUUUACGCGCACGUUGGAACCGAAGAGAGCUCUGUUGUUGCAAUGUUCAGCCCACAAGAGCUUACUGGUGAAGGAAUGGGACAAGACCCAUCUUUAUGCAAAGCCAGCGUUACAGUAAUGUUCCAGCAUCUCAUAAUCUAUCCUGGGGAAUUCAGCUGCCUCCCAGGGUGAAUACAGGUAUUCCUGAUGACAGUCUGCCUCUAUCUUACAGUAACAGCUUGUUGCUAUAUACCAUUGAAAAGCCUUCAGAGCUGAGAGGUACUACUAACCAAUAACCUGCUUGGCUCAAAGGGCCAGCACCUUCUCUCUAAAGCCCAAGAGGAGUUUGAGGAAAACUAGGUGUCUGUGUUCACUCCAGGCUGAAGUUACAGGUCUGAGCAAAUAAGGUGUAUAAAAAAUGGAAUCUGUCUUGGAGGACAUCAGAAGGUGAAUUUUCCAAGUUCUUGGACAACCUAGCUGUUGAAAAGCUUUCUGGGUUUGGGGGGUAUUUCAGAUGUACCUUAAAGUGUUAGCAGACACAGAUUAAGACACUGGGAGCCAAUGAAACAGCAGUUGAGGGUUUGCUGUGUAUCACAUUUCUGUAUUUUAUCACCCCCUUCCUGCAACAUUAUUUAUCUGGAAUCUACCUGCCCUUUUGUUUUUUAGAUACAAGGGCUUGGUUUUGUUACCCAGGCUGGUUUCAAGGCCAUAGCUUUAAGAGAUCCUCUCACCACAGAUUUCCAAAGUGCUGGGAUUGCAGGUGUGAUUCAUGGCACCCAGACUUUGCUGCCUUUCUUACAUGAUCCAGGCCCAGAACCCAAACUCAGGCACUGUAUAGAUGACCACUUUCGUAAACUACUGACCUAGCUUGUUGCCAAUUGUUGAUUGAACUUCCCAUAACUCCACUUCGUGUCUGUUCCUCUGUAUACAGCCACCUUCUGUUCCCGUCAUGAGCCUUUAGGUCUCCAUUUGCAUAUUGCAAAUACUAUGUUCCAUGUAGGUAGCUCAUUCAGGGCCUUGCUCUUCACUUCAAAAAAGGUUCCCUUGAGGACUGGCUGUCAAUUUGUGUUGCUGUGUUGGUUGUUGAUGAAAAUAAUAAAAUGAUUGAUUACA
rnacentral:lncRNA from 10 species